rnacentral:rRNA from 1 species
ACGAACGCUGGCGGCGUGCUUAACCCAUGCAAGUCGAACGGAAAGGCUUCUUUCGGGGGGUACUCGAGUGGCGAACGGGUGAGUAACACGUGAGUAACCUGCCCUUGACUUUGGGAUAACUUCAGGAAACUGGGGCUAAUACCGGAUAGGAGCUCCUGCUGCAUGGUGGGGGUUGGAAAGUUUCGGCGGUUGGGGAUGGACUCGCGGCUUAUCAGCUUGUUGGUGGGGUAGUGGCUUACCAAGGCUUUGACGGGUAGCCGGCCUGAGAGGGUGACCGGCCACAUUGGGACUGAGAUACGGCCCAGACUCCUACGGGAGGCAGCAGUGGGGAAUAUUGCACAAUGGGUGGAAGCCUGAUGCAGCAACGCCGUGUGCGGGAUGACGGCCUUCGGGUUGGAAACCGCUUUCGCUCAUGACGAAGCUUUGUGUGACGGUAGUGGGUAAAGAAGCACCGGCUAACUACGUG